rnacentral:rRNA from 1 species
UACGUAGGGUGCAAGCGUUGUCCGGAAUUAUUGGGCGUAAAGAGCUCGUAGGCGGUCUGUCACGUCGGCUGUGAAAUCCCGAGGCUCAACCUCGGGUCUGCAGUCGAUACGGGCAAACUAGAGUAUUGCAGGGGAGACUGGAAUUCCUGGUGUAGCGGUGAAAUGCGCAGAUAUCAGGAGGAACACCGGUGGCGAAGGCGGGUCUCUAGUACGGUACUGACGCUGAGACGCGAAAGCGUGGGGAGCGAACAGG